rnacentral:rRNA from 1 species
CCUACGGGAGGCAGCAGUGGGGAAUAUUGGGCAAUGGGCGCAAGCCUGACCCAGCAACGCCGCGUGAAGGAAGAAGGCUUUCGGGUUGUAAACUUCUUUUCUGGGGGACGAACAAAUGACGGUACCCCAGGAAUCAGCCACGGCUAACUACGUGCGAGCAGCCGCGGUUAUACGUAGGUGGCAAGCGUUAUCCGGAUUUAUUGGGGGUAAAGGGCGUGUAGGCGGGAAUGCAAGGCAGAUGGGAAAACUAUGGGCUCAAACCAUAGCCUGCAUUUGAAACUGUAUUUCUUGAGUGCUGGAGAGGCAAGCGGAAUGCGGGGUGUAGCGGUGAAAUGCGUAGAUAUACGGAGGAACACCAGUGGCGAAGGCAGAUUGCUGG